rnacentral:rRNA from 1 species
UACGAAGGGUGCGAGCGUUAAUCGGAAUUACUGGGCGUAAAGCGCGCGUAGGUGGUUCAUUAAGUUAGGAGUGAAAGCCCCGGGCUCAACCUGGGAAUUGCUUCUAAAACUGGUGGGCUAGAGUACGGUAGAGGGUGGUGGAAUUUCCUGUGUAGCGGUGAAAUGCGUAGAUAUAGGAAGGAACAUCAGUGGCGAAGGCGACCACCUGGACUGAUACUGACACUGAGGUGCGAAAGCGUGGGGAGCAAACAGG